GAUGAACGCUGGCGGCGUGCCUAAUACAUGCAAGUCGAGCGAACAGACGAGGAGCUUGCUCCUCUGACGUUAGCGGCGGACGGGUGAGUAACACGUGGAUAACCUACCUAUAAGACUGGGGUAACUUCGGGAAACCGGAGCUAAUACCGGAUAAUAUAUUGAACCGCAUGGUUCAAUAGUGAAAGACGGUUUUGCUGUCACUUAUAGAUGGAUCCGCGCCGCAUUAGCUAGUUGGUAAGGUAACGGCUUACCAAGGCAACGAUGCGUAGCCGACCUGAGAGGGUGAUCGGCCACACUGGAACUGAGACACGGUCCAGACUCCUACGGGAGGCAGCAGUAGGGAAUCUUCCGCAAUGGGCGAAAGCCUGGCGGAGCAACGCCGCGUGAGUGAUGAAGGUCUUCGGAUCGUAAAACUCUGUUAUUAGGGAAGAACAAAUGUGUAAGUAACUAUGCACGUCUUGACGGUACCUAAUCAGAAAGCCACGGCUAACUACGUG
rnacentral:rRNA from 1 species